rnacentral:tRNA from 1 species
GCCGCGCUGGCGCAAUCGGUAGCGCGCUUGACUGUACGUAACCUUUCCCGCAACGUGAUUGCGUGGGCCCAAACUAAUAAUCUUCUAGUCUACACCCAUAUAUAAGUGUAUCAAGCGGUUGCGGGUUCGAGUCCCGCGUGUGGCU